rnacentral:rRNA from 1 species
UAUGGCGACCGGCGCACGGGUGAGUAACACGUAUCCAACCUGCCGAUGACUCGGGGAUAGCCUUUCGAAAGAAAGAUUAAUACCCGAUGGCAUAGUUCUUCCGCAUGGUAGAACUAUUAAAGGAUUUCGGUCAUCGAUGGGGAUGCGUUCCAUUAGGUUGUUGGCGGGGUAACGGCCCACCAAGCCUUCGAUGGAUAGGGGUUCUGAGAGGAAGGUCCCCCACAUUGGAACUGAGACACGGUCCAA